GGGACGUCCUUAUCAAUUAGGUAAUGUCUGCUAAUGAUUGAGGAGCUGUGUUAGGCAGUGCUCCAGCUGUUGAUAUGUUAGCAAACAUCUGCAAAGGGCACUCGUACCUUGUGGGAAAAACUUUUCUUAGUCUGGAUCCCACUGGUCCAAGCCCUGAAAGACUGGCAGACCCAACAGCAUCUCACAGGGCAUCUGAAACAGAGGAACAUGGCAGAAAUGUGGACUGGGCACAGGAGGCAGCUCUGCUUGGGAUGUUGGUUCCAUCUCCAGGAGAUCAACAGCGCUAUGGGAAGAGGAAGGUGUGGCCAAGGCUCUGACAUUGCUGUGGUCUUCCAGAGAAUGGGCCAUCAGCAACAUCAUCACCACUUGCCUCCGUCUGGAGGUACUAGCAGGUCCUUUGUAGUUUGAAAAUGUCCGACAGAGCAUUACAACUAAAUCUUAAGAGGACCAUCAUACAGCGAGAGACAUUUUCUUCCUGUGCAUCCAAGCAAGAAGGCCUGUUUCACAGUCUUUUAAGCUGAUUCCUGAGUCUCCUACACACGCCUGAAUCAGAUGUGUGGGUGUUUCUGUGUCUGGUGUACCUAGAACAGGGCCAAUGGGAGGAAGUGACGCGCUACUGAACCUGUACUAACCGCAGGGAUUGGUUUGAAUAUUUAGAGUUACUUGAGACCUGAGGGUUAACAAUGUGCUAGGAAGAGACUGGCUUAUGAUUCAUUAUUUCAACCCUAAAAGGUUACACCUUAUUACAUUCAGAAGCACAACUUCACUAUGUUCAAUUUUAAUCUCUAUUCUUUGAGACUCUGCUCUUUGCCUUUCAGAUCUUGAUACAACCAACGAUCAAAAUAAUGGAAUUUCAGCCUGGAUGGGUUACACUAGCAACACCAGGGAGACAGAAGUGUCAGGAAAACAAAGACAGGAAAGGUAAUUUGGCCGUUUGUUUAAAUGUAAAGAGUACAAAAGAAGCUUCAGCUGUGAAAUAUUUGGCUAUCCAGAGAUGAAAGAUCCCCAGCAUUUAGGGUGGGAUGCCAGAGAAUUAUCAGGGCUCACGGGCGUUUUAUU